GACGAACGCUGGCGGCGUGCUUAACACAUGCAAGUCGAACGGAAAGGCCCUGCUUUUGUGGGGUGCUCGAGUGGCGAACGGGUGAGUAACACGUGAGUAACCUGCCCUUGACUUUGGGAUAACUUCAGGAAACUGGGGCUAAUACCGGAUAGGAGCUCCUGCUGCAUGGUGGGGGUUGGAAAGUUUCGGCGGUUGGGGAUGGACUCGCGGCUUAUCAGCUUGUUGGUGGGGUAGUGGCUUACCAAGGCUUUGACGGGUAGCCGGCCUGAGAGGGUGACCGGCCACAUUGGGACUGAGAUACAGCCCAGAGUCCUACGGGAGGCAGCAGUGGGGAAUAUUGCACAAUGGGCGGAAGCCUGAUGCAGCAACGCCGCGUGCGGGAUGACGGCCUUCGGGUUGUAAACCGCUUUCGCCUGUGACGAAGCGUGAGUGACGGUAAUGGGUAAAGAAGCACCGGCUAACUACGUG
rnacentral:rRNA from 1 species